UCCGAUUUGUCACCGGCAGUCUCCCAUGAGUCCCCGUCUUUCACGCUGGCAACAUGGGACGAGGGUUGCGCUCGUUGCGGGACUUAACCCAACAUCUCACGACACGAGCUGACGACAGCCAUGCAGCACCUGUGCUGGCUCCUUACGGGCACGGGCUUUCACCCGCUUUAACCAGCAUGUCAAGCCUAGGUAAGGUUCUUCGCGUUGCAUCGAAUUAAGCCACAUGCUCCACCGCUUGUGCAGGCCCCCGUCAAUUUCUUUGAGUUUUAAUCUUGCGACCGUACUCCCCAGGCGGCGCAUUUAACGCGUUAGCUUCGCCACGAACGGGGUCGAUUCCGCUCACAGCAAAUGCGCACCGUUUACGGCUAGGACUAC
rnacentral:misc_RNA from 1 species